rnacentral:pre_miRNA from 1 species
AGCGGAAGACUCCAAAGGGAUCGCAUUGAUCUGGGCUAGCUAGCUAUCUCGAUCAGCUGCUGCUGCCUGUGUGUGCAUCUGAAACAUACACGCAUGCACGAGACGACUCGCGUGCGAGAUCGAUCAGUGCAAUCCCUUUGGAAUUUUCCAC